GGAUUAGAUACCCUGGUAGUCCUAGCUGUAAACGAUGGAUACUAGACGUAGGAACUGGAUUGACGGUUUCUGUGUCGCAGCUAACGCGUUAAGUAUCCCGCCUGGGGAGUACGGUCGCAAGACUAAAACUCAAAUGAAUUGACGGGGACCCGCACAAGCGGUGGAGCAUGUGGUUUAAUUCGAUGCAACGCGAAAAACCUUACCUACACUUGACAUAUAGGGUCUAGCUAUAGAGAUAUAGUGUGCAUUAGCGCCCUAUACAGGUGGUGCAUGGCUGUCGUCAGCUCGUGCCG
rnacentral:rRNA from 1 species